rnacentral:rRNA from 1 species
CUACGGGGCGCACCAGUGGGGAAUAUUGCACAAUGGAGGAAACUCUGAUGCAGCAACGCCGCGUGGAGGAUGACACUUUUCGGAGCGUAAACUCCUUUUAUAUAGGAAGAAGAUGACGGUACUAUAUGAAUAAGCGCCGGCUAACUCCGUGCCAGCAGCCGCGGUAAUACGGCGGGCGCAAGCGUUACUCGGAAUCACUGGGCGUAAAGAGCGUGUAGGCGGAUUAAAAAGUCAGAAGUGAAAUCCUAUAGCUUAACUAUAGAACUGCUUCUGAAACUCUGAAUCUAGAAUAUGGGAGAGGUAGAUGGAAUUUCUGGUGUAGGGGUAAAAUCCGUAGAGAUCAGAAGGAAUACCGAUUGCGAAGGCGAUCUACUAGAACAUUAUUGACGCUGAGACGCGAAAGCGUGGGGAGCAAACAGGAUUAGAUACCCUGGUAGUC